rnacentral:rRNA from 1 species
AGAACGAACGCUGGCGGCGUGGAUAAGACAUGCAAGUCGAACGGGAUAUCAAGUUAGCAAUAAUGAGAUAUUUAGUGGCGAACGGGUGCGUAACACGUGGGAAUCUGCCGAGGAGUGGGGGAUAGCUCGCCGAAAGGCGAAUUAAUACCGCAUUAAAAGAGGGGGACCGCAAGGCCUCUCGCUUCUCGAUGAGCCCGCGGCCUAUCAGCUAGUUGGUAAGGUAAUGGCUUACCAAGGCUUUGACGGGUAGCUGGUCUGAGAGGACGACCAGCCACACUGGGACUGAGACACGGCCCAGACACCUACGGGUGGCAGCAGUCGAGAAUUUUUUCACAAUGGGGGAAACCCUGAUGGAGCGACGCCGCGUGGAGGAUGAAGGCCUUCGGUCGUAAACUCCUGUCAUCAUAGAACAAGAUCACGGGGUUAAUAACUGAUGUGAUUUGAUGGUAUAUGGAGAGGAAGGGACGGCUAACUCUGUGCAGCAGCCGCGGUAACU